AGAAGGUUGAAAAUGUUCAUAGUGAAGAGAAGCAUAGAAGAAAACGAAAACGUACCGUAAUGAAUGAAAAGCAGAUCUCAGUAAUUGAGAGAGCUCUCUUGGAUGAACCUGAAAUGCAGAGAAAUCCAGCUUCGAUCCAAUUUUGGGCUGAUGAAUUAAUCCGUUAUGGUUCUGAGGUUGCAUCAUCUCAACUUAAAAAUUGGCUGAACAAUAGGAAAGCGAGGCUAGCACGCACAGCUAGGGAUAGCCGUGUAACCUUAGAAGCUGACAGUGCAAUUCCAGAUAAGCAAGGGGGCCCGGCAGCUGGAUCCUGUGACUCACCUGAUAGCCCAUGUGAAGAUAAACAUGUACCUAAUACUGGAAGGGAUCGAAGAACGACAUCAAGAACUAAUACGGCCAACAAUUCUAAGAAUUCAACCACGGAGUUCAGUGACAUUGGCCCAACAGAAUUUGUUCACUGCAAACCAGGGCAGUAUGUCAUUCUUGUAGAUGUGCUCGGG
rnacentral:misc_RNA from 1 species